rnacentral:ribozyme from 1 species
CGUCCACCAGCAACAACGGGGUCCGAGAGUACCGGUGUUGGCACAGGAACAGCCUGUUGAACCUGCGAUGAUGGGACCGCAACAGGUGC